CUCCGGUCCUUGUGCUUGCAAGGAAGGCGGCGGAACCGCUGGGCUAAAUCCCCGGCCUCGACCACUGAUCUUAACCGUCAAAGUGGAAUCAGGUUCCUGUGCCUUGCCAAGGCCCUUCUUGCUGUCCCCAUGUUCCCCCUGCUCAUACUCAGGCCGAGUCCGGCCAGCACCGAGGACAGCUCCGGAGGGCUGGGCCUGUGCUCGCCUGAGAUCAGCGCCUAGCAGAGCCGGUCCUCGAGCUGGGUCUGCUCACUGAUCCCCGAGCUGGCCCCUGAGCGGAUCCCUCCCGUCGGUCCUAUGAGCCAAUGGUUACCCGGAGCAGGUCCUCCGGGGUUCCUAGAGCGCCCGGAAGUGCUCGCAGCGUGGGGCGGGGCUUACGGCGCCGGACCGACGCCUCCGGUUGGGCUCCGCGGGUACAGGACAUGUCCUGCUGCUGCAGUCUGAAGAGACCCGGCCGGGUUUCUGUGGUCUUGCUUUUGGGGCCCCGGGUCGUCCCGCGGCGCCCGACUCACUCCCAGCCGUGGCGGGCUGGGCCUUUGGGGUCCCACAGAGCCCUCAGCAUCCACGCGCCAUGACUUCCCAAGGCAGGCCCUCCUAGUCGAAGGAGAAAAAGUCCCCGGAAAGGCUAAGUGUCCUGCCCGAAGGCUGGUUCUGAAGUGUCGCGACAGACAAUUUUAAGUCUGAGCGUCACUUUAACAGCAUCUGUAUCCUCAGCUUGGCCGAAGGAUGGCAGGAAUGCUCCUGCUGUUGAAUCCAGAAGUGUCACACCUUUCUGGACUUUGCCUGGAUAAGGAUAGGUGGCCCGUCAACUGUCUGCCCCCUGGGCCUGGCUGUGUACACCUGAGGAGAGCAUCUAGGCUCUCGGAGUGAUGGCAAACCUUUUAGAGCUUUCAGUGAUACAGCCCGCUACCAUAUGUGCGGUCUCGGAUUUGGCCAGGAGCUGUGCUGGAGCCGUCUCCCACCACAUGAGUGGAUCUCAUGGUGGAUUGAAGCUUGGUGAGGUCCUAUCUACAGUUGUGAACUGAGCCCACUCAGCUCCAGGCUCACAGCCAAGAAGUUUCAUCGCAUUCUGUGUGAAGGACUGGGCUCCUGCAUUGUCCCUUUGCAAGUUCUUUUCUUCACAAGAACCACCUAGAAGUAUCUGCUUCAUCUUUCUCUGCCCAUUUAUGUAUUUUCUUCCAGUUGGUUCUGUUCUUUUGCUACAUUGUGUUAUUUCCCUCAAUCCGUCUAACUCACCUUUCUGUUGUAAUUCUGUAUCUUGUUGCUUCUAGUGUGGCUCUCCUGAAAAUACCUUUUCUUCUUAUGGGAAUUGUUGAGGAACAAACCCCUCACCUUUGAUCAUAGACAACAGGCAGAUCAGAUGGAAAACUAGGAAAGCAAAGCAAGGUUUUUGUAUUUCUCAAUCUUGCAAGAAUGGGUGCCAGCCUAACAAACAGACUAAUGCACCCAGCGUGGCUACAAAGAGCAAAAAAACUUUUUUCAGAGAUAGUAAAAGAAGCCAUGGAGGCCCCUACACAAAGAGCAGUUUAAACCCUAGAGCACAGUAGUUGCUCCCUCCCCUGGCUCCAGUAUGGUUUCCUCCUCUUUCUUCACAGUUGAGUACUCUGGGUCCUUAGCCCUUAGCCUGCUCCUUCUGUAAACAUUGUGUGGGGUUUAUUUAUUUAUUUAUUUUUGGUACAGGGUCGGGGGGAUUGAAC